CUUUUUAAUUUUUGAAAAACACUUUCAAAAAUUAACAAUAAUUGGAAUUCCCCCCUGCAUUGACUCUGAGGACCCCAUGUUGAAGAUCCUUGCUCUCGAACAUGUUUCCCCAACCUUCCCCAAACCUACUUAAAAAUGUGUUCGAAUAAAUAUCAAUUUAACAGUCUCAAAAAUCUCAUAACCAAAGACAAGAAAAGUUGCGUGUGGGUCUUUUAGUGGUCCCUGACACUUUCCACCCAUUUUAGUCUGUCUUCUCCAAAAGUAAUUGGACUUUUGAGGGGUUAAGAAAAGGCCAGUGAGGAGUCAAUUAAAAUGGAAAAUGUAAUUAAAGCUACCAUUUCCUUGUGUGUAUUUCAAAUGUUACUUUGUAGAUAACUCGAGAAGGCAGAGCUAUUUCAGCAGUCAAUAUGCUUGGAAUUACUGUUGUUAAUGAAGUAGACAACGGCCCAAUUAGUUUGUUUUCUCGCAAAUGGUCAUUACCUCCCACAUGUUAACAGUUUAAAAUGAGCAACUGCAAGCCUUUUCUUUAAGGGAGAACAUCUGAUCAGCAUUUGGGGGGAGGUUGGGCUCCGUUGGUGUGAUUUGGGGUCAGUGACGUUAAAGAGUUUGGAGAAGCUUCGGAGUAAGACAUGUUUAUCUGCUUUGUGUAUAGAGACUGUAUCUAAGAUGCAAAGUUGCACUACUAGGGCAGCUCUUAAUUUGUUCUAAGCACUUUGAGAUGGGCUAAACGUAUGUCAUGAACAAAGAACAAAGUAAAUCAGGGUUGUUUUUUUUUUAUACCAUGACUGGCUUCCUUUUCUUGUUCAAAUGUUUGCACUCUCCCUUUGUUUUUAUUCCCAAACCCCCUGAGCCAUGAAGCCCUGGUGUCCAGGUCUGCUUGCUCCCAGGUUGAGGUAGUAGGUUGUAUAGUUGAGAAUUACACCCUGGGAGAUAACUGUACAACCUCCUAGCUUUCCCUGAGGUACGCAUGGCGCUUUGCACAGCUGGAUCAAUAUAAUCCAAUGUUAUUACUGUAUGAGUCACACCAAAAAAAAGAGAGAUAUGCUCCACAUGGUCAAUAACAGUCCAAGCUGUUUGCUGAUGGAGCAGGAGGGUUUCUACUUUAGGUCUGUGACACCAUGCCUUUAUGUCAGUCCAUGGCAUGUGUGUGUACUUGUGCAUUUGGGGUAUUUGCUGAUAUUCAUGGGGUGAUGUAUACAAAUGACGAAUGUGAUAUAUGUGACAUUUUUACAUGACAAAAUAUGAUCUUAAAAGAGACGCUUUUAGUGGUUCCCUCAGAUUUCUGUUCUUGUCCAAUUAAAAAUGCCUCUUAAUUUCUGUACAUUAUUACGGCUGCAACUAACAAUUACUUUUAUUGUUGAUUAAUCUUCCGGAUUUUUUCUCAAUUAAUUGAUUAAUCGCGUGGUUCAUCAAAUGUCAGGAAUGCCCAUCACAGUUUUCCAAAGUUAUAUCUUCAAGUAGCUUAUAUUAACAUUUAUUAUAAUAACGGAUAUACAAUUUAAUAACACAAAAAAUGCAAUUCACAUUUGACAAGCUGGAACUAAAUAAAAUUGGUAUAUUUGCUUGACAAUAAACAAUGAAUCGAUUGUUGUCAAUAGAUUUUCUAAAAAUCAACUAUUUGAUAAAACGACUAAUUGUUUCAGCUCUAAUUAUUUCUUAUAUAUCAUUGUAUUAUUAUGAUGUAGUGACUGUGUAUUAGAGGUGGAUCAGCUGAUACCUAAUUAUUACUAAAAUCUCUCUAUAUGUUUGUGUGUAUUUUGACCUGUAAGAUGUGUGUUUAUGCACGUGUCAGUUGUCAGCAGAGCAGUAUAUUCUGCUUUGGUCUAUUUUGAAGUCAGUAAAGUGAUGGUCUGUGUGUAGCAGGCAGGUAGAGAUCAGAAGCACUGCAUUGUUGCAGAGUUGAUAGGACUGACAUGUGAGAGCUUUAAACUGCACUCUGUGUUUGAAACAUCAGUUCCUUUCCAUUCUGAGGUGACAUUUUAUUAUUCGCUCAGUGAUAACCUCAUUAAUGCUGAUGGUUGUGUGGAAGAAGUCCGGCUGCUUCAGUCUCGUUGUUUGUGUGAUGACAGUUAGUGGUUGUAAAGGAUAUCAGACACAAAAGGAAAAAGAGUUUGCCAUUCGAACACGAGCCUCAGACAGCAGCAUCCCAGUCAGUUUACAGGCAGCAAAAUCGGUUGGCACUGUGAACAAUUCUUGUCAUAAUAUUUCCAAUCAGCAGACGCAGACUGCGUGGAAGCUACAGCUGUCAAAAUAUCCGACAUGUGAAAUAUUGUGACACUCAGGGAGGCAUAGGAAAUCUGCUGAAAAUGAACAAUUACAGCAACACACAGAAACUUCUUGAAUUAAUACAACAUGACAUUGGGUUGGCUGUUUUAACAGAUGUAUUUGAUUAACUGCUGAAAUCCUUUAUUGAUUUAUUUUUCCACAUCCAAUUAAAUAAGUUUUAUUUAAACUGAAAUCCUACUGAAAUUAAUCACAGUAUCUACUGAGGCUCACAUCUGUCCUCGCACACCGGCUGGCAGUUUACUAUCAACGAGAACUUGUUCCUUCCCUCUGCUAUCUUUAUUACAAGAAAUCUGUAUUUUUUGCUGUGAAUCUCCUGGCAGAGGUAUGGUAACGAAGCUGGCCUGUUGGAUUUACAGCCUCUUACACCAUCCCAGUGCAGCAGCACGUAUGUAUAAGCCUUAACAUGGCAUAUACUGAAAACAUACUGAGGCCUUUCAGUUACCUCCCUCCUCGUCUACCAGGAUAUAUGUGUGUGUGUGUGUGUGUGUGUGUGUGUGUGUGUGUGUGUGUGUGUGUGUGUGUGUGUGUGUGUGUGUGUUUGUGUGCGUGCGCGCAGUUGAGGUAAUAGGUAUAGGAGCAAAAGACUGCCCCCUGUUGGUUACCUUUGUGAAGUGUUAAUCUUUUGCAGGUUCAGAUUUGGGGACUUUGCAAAUGAUGAAAAUAUGAAACUCAAGUGAUUUUAUGGCACAUAGGGCUAUGCUAAAGUGAGAUGUAACCUUGUGUGGUUUUUCGAUGACUGUGUGUGUGUCAUCUCUGUGUACAAAAAAAAUAAAAAUAUAAAGAAUGAGAAAGGAAAAAGACAAAGAAAGAAAAGACAAUUCUUGCAAAAAUCCAGUCAAAAUCAGUCAAACUCUAUUACGGUAGAACCCUCGUCUUGCAAAACCUUUUAUUUUCAUCAUCGCCGUUGGCAUAGCAAUGACUCCAUGACCGUUGCAACAGCUGUCCCAUUCGUCCCAUCAAUCAGAGGUGACAGCUGUCAAUCAAUCUGGCCACAGCACCACUGUCUCAGCCAUCCAGCGAGUGUCCUGCUUGUCACCCUGCCCUGCUCAGUGUACAGACACACACACACACACACACACACAGCGUCCACACUGUAUGUUUGUUUUCUACCUCUCAGACUCUGCCUGGCCCCGGUGCUGUGGGCUUAUUUGCAGUCCUGCUGCUGUUUUCUUGGAUACGUGGGCUGGCGUGACAGAUCUGGGUCUCUCUUGAUGUACUACUUGGCUAGCUGGGGCUGAUUCCUGGCCAUUAACAGCAGAUAACGAAUACUUAGAGAAUGAAUUGGAUCGGUAAAUCAGUGGCGAUGGAUGCAAAGUUUAUCCAUCGCCAUGUGAAGUUUUGCACUAACAUUAAUCUAAUUACUCAUAUUUCAUAGCCCUGAAAUCCCUCUUCUUAUUUAUAUUUCAGUGUUUGUGCAUUUCUGCACCUAUCUACCAUGUCUGCAUGCCUCAGUAUGCACGUGUGUGUGCAGGCGUGUGUGAGCCUUUGUCUGCCUGCUGCGGGAUCUCACCGUCAAAGCAGGCUAAUAUUAGUGGAGGCUGUGUGUGUGUGUGUGUGUGUGUGUGUGUGUGUGUGUGUGUGUGUGUGUGUGUGUGUGUGUGUGUGUGUGUGUGUCAACAGGGAUUUUAAAUUUGGUGGCAUCAGUGUUUUUUACUGGGGGGUUGCAUGCUGUAGAUCCAGAUGCACAGUUUUCUCCAGCGGCUGUAUAGAGAUAGAAAAAUGGCACAAUGCUCCGUCUGCCAGAGAGCAGUCAAAGAGGAUUGGAGAUUAGCUGGGGUGCAGACACAGUCGGUCGAUCAGUCAGUCAGGGAGGCAGCAGAAGAAAAGCAAGAGGGCAGUGUGGUCUCAAGGAUUUUUCUUUUUUUCCCCCUUCCCAGUCUCUCCGGGCCCCGUCGCUGAUUUGUGCCUACAGUUGGUUGUACGUCGUCGCUCUCCUUUUCUACUCCAUCUGUCCCUCCCCCAUCAUCUCUCCUCUUUCUCUCCUUCCUCCCUCCCUCUCUCUCACUCUCUUUCUCUCUCUCUCUCCAUACCAAAGCCUGGGGGAGCCAGUGGAGAUUAAAUGUAGCCUCUAUAAGCCAAAGCACAUCAUGUAGCAAUGUUUCUAUGGUCCCUUCUCUCUCUCUCUCUCUCUCUCUCUCUCUCUCUCUCUCUCUCUCUCUCUCUUUCUCUUUCUGACUGUCCUUACUUUGCUAAAGGGAUAGUGUGAAUGAUGUCGGCUCGUGUGAGACACAGAAUAAGAGAAAAGAAAGAAAACAGUGCAAGAACUGGAAAAUUGAUUUUUUUUUUUUUGCAUGCAGAACAGAGGAUUUGUUUUAUGGGUGGAAAACGGACAACGGCAAGGAAGCGAGCUAGAAGAACAACGGGCAAGGGGGCAUCCUGGAUCCGAAGGGGAGGGCUCUCGGGAGCUGAGAGGGAUGCACGGCCAUCUCCCACAUGUUCCUGCCUCGAACAAUGCCGAUCAGAAGGGGAAGGCCAUGGCGCAGUGAGCUAAGGCGUUCACUGCACGCUCACCAUGUCACACUUUUCAGUUUGGCUCACACCCUGCUGUAUGCUGCAUGUCACCUGGGUUUAUCUCUUUUCUGUCUGCUGCACCGGGCAUCGUUGCACAUCAGUAAAUUUAGAUUGAGUAGACACUGCAGAUUGACAAUAUACUGUUGAAAUCUCUGGGGUUUGGAGGAUGGGGAUGUAGUGGCAUGAAUGCUGUUUUAAGGAUCAUGUGACAAAGUUAAGGCAGGAUGAUCUGAGCCAUCUAGAUGGAUUACAGGAAACUGUCAUCUUUUAGCAACAGAGGCCUCAUUGUAUCAGUAUAUUGACACGAGGGCUACAUUAUUUUUUGCAAUUGCCUAAAUUUAACCAUCAAAUAUUAGUCAUUAUUGCCAACCUUUAAUGUGAUGCUACUUGUUUGCUCACAUAUAAAGCACUUAUUGUGGUCUCAUGUUAACGAGGCCCCAAUAAGCAUUUUGAUCCGAGUCCACACAAGUAAGACAUAUAAAUGACUUUUAUUCUGCUUUUCAAUGGAUGGCCUAUAUGCUAUUUAUUUUAUUCAGUGGAAUAACAUGUCUUUCAGGUUUUAAGCAUCGCAGCUAAUUAUUUAGCAAUCCAGUAGCAUAACAAUUAGCACAGUUACCUUUGAAAAAAAAACAGCUUCAGGUGAAAUGCUAAUUGGAUGCAAUGUCAAUGUUUGUUGGCAUCCUGAGCCGCUAGCUGACUAAAUCUAAUAGGCAGUGGCACUGCUGCUGUUAAAGAAAUAGCAGCUGGUUAGCAGCAGUAGCUUAUGAGAGAUAAUGCUAAUGCUGCUGUGAUAGCAUUAACCUCUUCAUACACCAGUGGAUACUGUUAGGUAAAGAAGCUUCUGUCAGUGUGAUAGCUCUUUGUUUCUCCAGCGGGCAUGGCUGUCUGUGUGUGUGUGUGUACCUUUCUUAAUGGAGAGCAGCACAGAGUAAUGUUGAGAGCGUGACCAUGACAGCUCUGUACAUUAUGUGCUUGACCUCAAUGAACCCUCAGCGAUGUUAAAACUCACUCAGUCAUGCUAACACAAAUGUAAAGGUGGCAGUAACAACACACUCACCAGGCAGCUAGUGAUGUCCACCGAGAAUAAUCUGCAGCACCUUUUGUCGCUAGACGACGAUGACAUCGCCACCAUCCAUGAUUCACAUGUGAAGUGCUUCUGAAUAUGCAACUGAUUUUGGUGUCGACCUGCAACCAGAGUGGCAAGCACACUUUGUCCUCGACAGUAACAAGGAUCCCACCCGCUGACUUUGAAUAACAGUUCAGUUGGUCAUAGUAGCAUAGUAGUUUUCUUUCUCCAACUGGUAAUUGAAGGGUUCGUUUUCCAUGUUGUCGCCCUCAUUUGCACCUUGCAGUUUGCUCUCAGGGGUCCAUCACUCUCCUGAGAUCCAUUUGCAGCAUAUUGUUUAGGAGCAGCUCUUUGACAGGGUGAUUCAUCAAUAUUUGACUUAGGCCCAUCACACCAUAACUAAUAUCUUGUUUUAAUGGGGCGUAGCGGGAAUUUUGAUGAUAACUCAACUUCAUGGACACUUCCCUUCAUUGAAAUGAAUUCUAAACUCCAUGCACUUGUGGAUUUUAGGCAGUGGAAAUUGUGCUAGACAUUAGUUGUGCGAAUGGCUACUGUAAGGCCCUACAAAGAUGCUUAUGAAAAACGUAUUUUUAUUUGGUUGUUGUUUUACAUUAUGUAAUGUUAGAUAUUACGUUAUUACAUACCAAGAUUCGUAUAUGAAUUUUCUUUUUUAUUCAGACACGCUUGAAUUCAAAGAUUGCAUUGCUGCGCCUGUGUGCAACAAAGGGCUGUCAUUUCAAGUCAUUGAGAAGCUGAAGCUUUAUUUAUUUUGAUCUUUUUGACAUAAUGGACAUAUUUGCUUUUACUCUUGGCCUUGAAAGCUAUAUUUAAUAAUUUUCCCUCCCUCAGUGCCAUUUAUUCCACUGACAAAAGCUGGAUAUGAUGUGCUGAUGUGUUGCAAAAGAUGCUUCAUUCUGUCUCAAUGUAUUAACCGGGAUUGUGUGGAGUCCCGCAGAUGCUUCCGUCCUAUUGUUAAUGAACUAAUAUGGAUUUUAACUUGAACCCCCCCCCUGCACUGCUAAUCUGCUGCUUUAGCAAUUAUCUUAUGUAACCCCUCUGUCAGCCCCCUCUCUCUCUUUUUCUACCAUCUCUCUGCCUCAAAAUCGUUUUUUAUUUGUUCAGUUCGGUGAACAAACACUAACCUGGAGCGAGUUAGUGUCUAGCCGGUAAGCUCGAAAAGGGGCUGCAGGCUUGCUCUCCAUUGUUCGGCUGCAUCGCAGACUGUCUGUACACUGUGUCCCCAUGGCCGAGGCAGAAAUGGAGGACAGACAGACAGCUGUUUCAUCGCCUCAAUGUUGAUAGAAUUUUUUGCGAAAAAGAAUAUGUGCCGAUAAGUGUCGUCAACUCCUGACACAAUGGAGAUGAUGCGGUUUGCAUGUGCUGAAUUCCGAACAUUUGAGACAGAUUCAAUGAAAAUGUUCUUCUGUGAUUGAGGGGUGACUCUUUGGGAACCUUUAACCCAGCAGCUUCAGGUGUGUCAGUCAGUCAGUAAAACCUGCAGUGACACCUGCUUUACUGAGAUCCUGUACCAAUAAAUCUCAGAGAUUUACUAGUCUAGAUUUCGGUUUCAGUUUAGUAUCCCAAAAUGGUAUCAGUUGAUUCCAAAUGCCAGCAGGCAGCUCUUGAUUGAUUGAAGUCCAUUUUAAGGUUGGACUUUUGUUAAGGUGGACUGUGAAAGAUGCAGUCAAAAGGGAGUGUGUAAUAUUCAAGUGUAUGUUAGGAGGGUAUGUUGGAUGGGUUGCUGCAGGGUUACGCCCAAAGUGCCUCAGGAAAAUGUUUGCAUGUGUUUGCACAUUUAGAUAAAAAUAAAGGUUAAAAUAUUGAUUAGAGAGAUUGAUAAGAGAGAGAAAAAAGCAUUGAAUGAGGCGACAAAAGGCUACAAUAAGCCUACACAUCUCUUUGUGGCAGCAGGGGUGGUUUCUCUCCGUGUCACCAUUCUGCAGUUUUUUCUGCCACUCCCUUCAACACACUGCCUCGGCUCAGCUAAAGGCGUGUGAAGCACACUCAUCAAUAAUCAGAGCUGGUCAGCGCUUGUGUGUGUGUGUGUGUGUGUGUGUGUGUGUGUGUGUGUGUGUGUGUGUGUGUGUGUGUGUGUGUGUGUGCUUCCUUAAGUAUCUGUCAGCAUGUCUGUAAUGUCUGUUUGUGUGUGUUUAGCAGUUCUUCCCACUGCAGAGGGGUUCACUACCCCUUCCUUCCAGUCUGUCGGCAAAACAAGAUGGCGUCGCAGCUCCACGUGGGCCCUCCCGCGCUGGUUAAUGCCCAUUACCUAUGCCACCGGAAAGCCAUAGGUACCCCUCGGGUGUAUUUACUCGCCACAUAGCUGAAAUUGCUGAGGCGCUUCUCAGUACUGUAGCUUGGCCGACUUUAGGACAUUUACGAUUUGGGGCAGAUCCAGUGUUUUCAUUGUUUUUCCUGUUGUUGUUUUUUUUAUCACUGUCUGUGUAUCAGCUGCCAAACUUUUGUCUGCAAUUUGGGCAGUUUUAAAUGUGCUGGAGGGGUGAACGAGUACGUUUUCACCACGAUAUAGCAUGAUCGGAGGAGCCUAAGACCCAAGAUUUUCAGUGACAAUGACUGCUUCUGUAAUUGUUGUGCAUCUGACAAUAAAUAAAUAAACUGAAACUGUGUGUGUGUGUGUGUGUGUGUGUGUGUGUGUGUGUGUGUGUGUGUGUGUGUGUGUGUGUGUGUGUGUGUGUGUGUGUGUGUGUGUGUGUGUGUGUGUGUGUGUGUGUGUCCGUCCUCUCUGACUCCGGCUAAGGCCAGUUUAAACGAGCUUGGGAAUAGUGCGCACAGCCACAUCACACCAGCAGAUUAACCAGACUACACAUUAUUAAUCUGAGAGAGACUAAUGUCACCAACAAUGUGUCAGCAGUCACACAUACACAAAAACACACUUAAAAACACGUAGUUAAAUCUGUGCGCUUUUUCUCUUCCUUAUAGUAACCCAGGUAGUGGUGUGACUGGAGGCCGAGGCCGAGCCUGUCUCCUCCUCAGUGUCAGCGUUGCCCUGCUCCAGGUCAUGUUGGGUUUAAAGAAAGGCUGGAAAUCCCCUGAUGAAUCCACAUUUAACCCUUUGCUGCCACGUCAACCAAGAAGCUAAAGAAAUACUUGUUUGGGGCGUUUGAAGGAGAAGAGCUUAAGCACGUUAGCUGCGGUUAACAUUUUGGAUCAUUUUCUGCCUUAACAGCUUUAAUACCAGGAAGCUGUGCAGAUGUGAUCAGCUAUUGCAUGUCUGCACAGAGAGAUUUGAUUCGGGGGUUUCAAGUUGGUUUCUUAUUUUUUUUUUCAACUGAUUUGGCAAAACUUUUGAGGAACUGUCCGUGAUCUGUUUGAUGGUGAUGGGCAUGUCACGUAGCAGCUGGCUCACAACAAGAUAUACCACCAACAAAUCUACACAUUUUGAGACUUUGAUUAUAUCUGGGAUGUUUAAAAAGAUGUUAAAACAUCUACAUACCUGUAGCACCAUAACAAUCUUUGAGAUAAUAUGGAAAUUUCUUUUUCAUGAAUUUUACUUUUUUUUUCACAAUUGGUUGAUUGAUGAAUCUCUAAGAUAAACUUUUAAACCCCACACAGGGAAAUUGAAGUGUCACAGCAGCAAAAGGAAGUACAAGACAAGAUGCACAGUAUUUAAAAAAUACAACCUACAAUACUGCAUACAUUAUGUUUUUAUUCUAGAAUUGAAUUCUAUUUUGUAUGGCUUUUCUUUUUCUUUUUUUUUUGCUUCAUGGGAAUCCUGACUAGAUGUUAUGUUUAACAAUAACAUAACAUAUGAUAACACCACUUUCUUCCUUGUAAUAAAUAUAGCAGUGAUGUGAGAGAAGUACAGUAAGCCCAGUCUUCUCUUCAGAGGCCUGGUAUUGAAAUAGAGACAUCUUACAGACCUAAGGAAAUACAUGUAAUUUCACUUGAUUGUCAAGUCUUGUGAUGCUCAUCAGUAGAAGCUCUAAAUGAGUUGUGGGAGUUUUCUAAGCAGACAUGUCAUCUGUCAUGAUUUAUAUUUUUAUCUUUAGAGUUUGUUUUUUUUUUUACCUUUUUAAAGUCUUGAAUCUGUUACAACAAGAUUAAUUCUUCGGUGUGAUUUUUGUUUCUGCAGAGCUGCCAAGACAUAUUACAACAUCCUCUCUGCUGACCACGAAGACAUCGGACAGUAAAUGGACCGAGAAAAAAAGACAUUAAUAAAGACAGUUGACAAGCAAGUUCUCAGUAGACAGGAUGCUUGCAGUAAUUAGUCCAUAUGAUCUGCAAUUGGAUGUAUCCGUGGUCCAUGGUAAAAGGGAUUACAGUACCACAUUACUACAUUUAAUGAAUAGACCUAUACCAUAUAUACAGUUCAUAUUUAAUUAGUAAUUAUUCAUUUAAACUUCAGCAGUAGGCCUACCAUUAUGGUGGGCAGCAUGUACUGUACAGUAGGCCUAUGUAUUGCACAUUCUGACACAGCUGUUAAAUAGCUUUUUCUUUCUCUCUCUUCCAGCCUAUUAGACCAGGUCAGGACACGUCGGGGAAUGGUACAGGAACAUGAGACGGAUAUGACAACCAUACUGGAGCAAGCCUCAACUGUUCAUAUACACACUUACUGAGAUACUAAGAUGUUUUCCAUAGUCAUUUACAUGUAUUUUCCUUUGUAAAACAAAAUAUAUUUAAUGCUAAUAAAAUAUUUAUUAAAAAUACCCUCCUUUUGUAUUAUUCCAAGAAAUGCACCAUUCUUAAAUUGUAUCAUCCUUAGCAUAUUUAGUGUGCUAGUAUUUACUAUGCUAGGCAUAGCUAUGUGUUCGUAUUUGCCAUGUCUUAACAGCUCCAUGCUAACAUUUUUGGCACAUAGUAUGUUAAGCGAUUGCAGGCAUCAUAUUAACACUAAACACGUUAUGUGAUAGUAUAUUAUAAACUAACAUUUUAGUGUGCACUAUUCUGGGAAAUAAUGCUUCAUGCUAGCCUUGGUCUAUUACAGUAGCAUACACAGUGUUUAGUGGUAGAAGGCUUCUUAACCCUUUCUAUCAUACAUUAUACUAUAUGAUAGCAAACUCAAAGCUAAUAUUCACAUUUACACUAUGGAGUGAAAUUGCUCUGUGCUAACACUUUAGUUAGUAAGCAUUAAAGUAAGACUAAUCAUGCUAACAUUAUAGCAUUCAUUAAGUAGGUGAGCCUCUAUGCUAUGCUAUAAUUCCACCCUUGUAUGCUCUAUGAUGCUGCAGAUUAUCAAUCCAUGACAUUUAUUCCAGUUCAUUCAAGUUGUUCAGCGAUGACGUGUCAACUUUUUGUGGUGUCCACUUAACCUCAACCUGCCUCCUCUACCUCAGUGAUUCACCACAUUUCCAAGAAUGACUUUCAACACCCCAAGAGUUCCUGCCUGGACUUGUUAUUGCCAGCUUUUGGUUUUAUAUUGGAUAAAGUGAUAACGACAGGGAAACAGGCUGAUACAGAUAGAGAGUUAGUAACUGAAACAGAGUGAAAUUUUCUAACUAAAAAAUCAACACAGCCAUGUCUCUUCUUCAGAGCACAGCAUGUCCUGUAGCUGUAUUGCAUUAUAGGCAAUUAGGGCUACUGUAAAAUAGAUAGCUCUUGCUUUUUCAUCUUAUGAAAUUAAUUAUUGUAGAAAGAAGCCCUACAAUGCAAAAAAAAAAAAAAAAGAUGUCCAUUGUAUGUUAUUGAUUAACUAAAAGGUUUUCUCAUAUUAUUCCAUCAGAGGUGUUCUCUACGCAACAUCAUAUAAUCUACAUUUGGCUUUAUAGACGUUUAGGUGAGAUUAUAAUACCACACACCAUAUUUGCAAACCUCACACUGAGAGAGAGAGAGAUUUUUCUGUAUUAUGCUUAUUGGAUUUAGACCAUGUUUACAGUCCUUGUUAAGCAACAGACAGCAGCAUGAGAUCCAGAUGUGUCUUUUAAUUUGUUGAAGAUAAUAAAAAAAAUUAAAUUGUAUCUGGUUCAUAAUUGGUAGUUUUGUCCUUUUAGACGGAUACAAAUUCUUAAUUUGUUGACUUUCUCCAAAUUAUAUUCGCAUCAGUAUGCAAUUAUAGAGGCCAAUACAUGUAGAACCUUGUGUUCAAAUAAAAUUGUAAACAGUAAAUACUGAAUGUGUUAUGAAUGUGAGUUGUUGUUGUUGUUGUUGUUGUUGUGUGUUUUAUUUAAUUAUUUUAAGUUUUUAAAUAAAGAAAGUAAGAAAUAGGUACUGAUGCCUUUUAAGUACUGUAUUUUCACUCUUUAUGCAUACAAAAGAUAUGUAACCCCCUAUUUAUAAACCAAAUAAAUGUAUCAAUGGGUCCCUUUAUA